UACGGGGGGGGCAAGCGUUGUUCGGAAUUACUGGGCGUAAAGGGCGCGUAGGCGGUUUGUUAAGUUGGAUGUGAAAACUCUGGGCUUAACCCAGAGCCUGCAUCCAAAACUAGCAGACUAGAGUUCUGGAGGGGAUAGCGGAAUUCCUGGUGUAGCGGUGAAAUGCGUAGAUAUCAGGAGGAACACCGGUGGCGAAGGCGGCUAUCUGGACAGAGUCUGACGCUGAGGCGCGAAAGCUAGGGGAGCAAACAGG
rnacentral:rRNA from 1 species